rnacentral:rRNA from 1 species
GACGAACGCUGGCGGCGUGCCUAAUACAUGCAAGUAGAACGCUGAAGGAGGAGCUUGCUUCUCUGGAUGAGUUGCGAACGGGUGAGUAACGCGUAGGUAACCUGCCUGGUAGCGGGGGAUAACUAUUGGAAGCGAUAGCUAAUACCGCAUAAUAGUAGAUGUUGCAUGACAUUUGCUUAAAAGGUGCAAUUGCAUCACUACCAGAUGGACCUGCGUUGUAUUAGCUAGUUGGUGGGGUAACGGCUCACCAAGGCGACGAUACAUAGCCGACCUGAGAGGGUGAUCGGCCACACUGGGACUGAGACACGGCCCAGACUCCUACGGGAGGCAGCAGUAGGGAAUCUUCGGCAAUGGACGGAAGUCUGACCGAGCAACGCCGCGUGAGUGAAGAAGGUUUUCGGAUCGUAAAGCUCUGUUGUAAGAGAAGAACGAGUGUGAGAGUGGAAAGUUCACACUGUGACGGUAUCUUACCAGAAAGGGACGGCUAACUACGUG